rnacentral:rRNA from 1 species
GACGAACCGUGCGAACGUUGUUCGGAUUCACUGGGCUUAAAGGGCGCGUAGGCGGGCUUUCAAGUCGGGGGUGAAAUCCCACAGCUUAACUGUGGAAGUGCCUCCGAUACUGGGAGCCUUGAGGGAGGUAGGGGUGUGUGGAACUUCCGGUGGAGCGGUGAAAUGCGUAGAUAUCGGAAGGAACGCCGGUGGCGAAAGCGACGCACUGGACCUCUUCUGACGCUGAGGCGCGAAAGCUAGGGGAGCAAACGGG